rnacentral:lncRNA from 1 species
AUGAAGCUGCCAUUCCUUGUGCUGGAGAUGUUUUCUGCUCAUGAAGAGCGAGUUUUGCUUAGAAAAUGUGAAGCUUCAGAACUGCAGAGCGGAAGAAAACACUUCCUGUUUUCUCUUGACAUUGUGGUUGAACUUAGGACCUGCCUUUACUCCAGUGAUCAGAAGGCUUCAGAAACAACCUGGUGCUGUGGACUGAGCCCCACCAGCAGCCAAGCAACCACAUGCGCUCCAGUGGGACAAGAAAGAGAACAGGAAGAGCAGAUGUGAAGCAUCCCUCAUAUGAGGAUGGACUGAGAGAGGUGGGUAAACCUUAAAAUAGUCUUCCAAUAACUAAAGGGGACCUACAAGAG